UCAGCAUUUCCUGCCGGGAUCCCCGCAACGAUGAGAGCUGCCAGGGCGUCUCACCCACUCGGGGUGAAGCGUUCAGCUUCUCUAGGCGAUGAUCUUGGAUCUAGCAAUAGGGAGGCAGCAGAGUUGGGCAGUGAAGAGAGCAAACAAAAGUUCCUCAGACUUCUGGGUGCAGGAAAGAAGGAGCACACCGGUCGUCUUGUUAUAGGAGAUCACAAAUCAACAUCACAUUUCCGAACAGGGGAAGAAGAUAAGAAAAUUAAUGAAGAACUGGAGUCUCAAUAUCAGCAAAGUAUGGACAGUAAAUUAUCAGGAAGAUAUCGACGACACUGUGGACUUGGCUUCAGUGAGGUGGAAGAUCACGAUGGGGAAGGCGACGCAGCCGCAGAUGAUGAUGGAAAUGAUGAUGAUUCGCCCGAUCCUGACAGUCUGGAUGAUUCUGAAAGUGACUCGGAGUCAGAAAAAGAUGAAUCUACUGAAGAACUCCAAGCUGCCGAGCACCCUGAUGAAGUGGAAGAUCCCAAAACCAAAAAAAAGAUGCAAAAGCUUUUCUCUCACUGGAGGAAUGAAAGGCAAGACCUCUCAGCCGUCCCCAAACUUUGGCCACGGAGGACACAGCACAGAAGACCCAGUGGUUACUGGCACGAUCGUUUUGGACUUGCCAGGCUCCACAACUGUAAGAAAAAAUUGUUUUCAGUGCUGGGUAUGGAACCCAGGAUCUCCCAUGUGCUGGGUAAGCGCUACCACCGAGCUGCACCCCAGGCCUCUGUAAAUUAG